AUCCAAGUACGGAAAUCCCGAGGGGAUAAAAUACAUUCGCUCUUCACAAUACUAGUCUGUUACACUUGUACCGCGGGAGUGUUUUUUCACAUUUGAAUAUUAUGAGGGACAUCGCGAACAGACAGAGGCUCAUUCACAAAGCAGAUAGAGGCGCUUGUACCGCGGGAGUGUUUUUUCACAUUCGAAUAUUAAUUUUCACGUUCGAAUUCGCGUUUUUGGAUACAUUUCGAACGAAUAUUCGAACUUCGAAUAUUCGUUGACAGCCCUAAUGCUAACUCAGAAUGUUUUGCAGCCAACAGACUAAAAACAAAAACUGUAAUAUACGACAGUGUCACCCCUCAUGUUUCAUUUGAUAAAAACGACGGUGUUACCCCCUAUGUUUUAAUUGAUAAAUAUCGACAGUGUUACCCAUUAUGUUUUUUUUCAUGACGACCAAUAAAAAACAAAAACAUAAGUAACCCUUAUGUUUUUUUUCAUGACGACCAAUAAAAAACAACAGUGUUACCCCUUAUGUUUUUUUUCAUGACGACUAAUAAAAAACAAAAACAUAAGUAACCCUUAUGUUUUUUUUCAUGACGACCAAUAAAAAACAACAGUGUUACCCCUUAUGUUUUUUUUCAUGACGACCAAUAAAAAACAACAGUGUUACCCUUUAUGUUAUUUUUCAUGACGACCAAUAAAAAACGACAGUGUUAUCCCUUAUGUUUUUUUUCAUGACGACCAAUAAAAAACAACAGUGUUACCCCUUAUGUUUUUUUUUCAUGACGACCAAUAAAAACAACAGUUGUUACCCUUUAUGUUAUUUUUCAUGACGACCAAUAAAAAACGACAGUGUUAUCCCUUAUGUUUUUUUUCAUGACGACCAAUAAAAAACAACAGUGUUACCCCUUAUGUUUUUUUUCAUGACGACCAAUAAAAAACAACAGUGUUACCCUUUAUAUGUUUUUUUUCAUGACGACCAAUAAAAAACGACAGUGUUAUCCCUUGUGUUUUUUUUCAUGACGACCAAUAAAAAACAACAGUGUUACCCCUUAUGUUUUUUUUCAUGAAGACCAAUAAAAAACAACAGUGUUAUGUUUUUCGUCAUGACGACCAAAGAAAAACAACAGUGUUACCCCCUAUGUUUUAUUUGAUAAUUUCGACAGUGUUACCCCUUAUGUUUUUUUCCCAUGAUGACUGAUGAAAAACAACAGUGAUACCCCUUAUAUUUUAUUUGAGAAGG
ensembl:lncRNA